rnacentral:rRNA from 1 species
UAUAAUGCAGUCGAGCGAUGGAUUAAGAGCUUGCUCUUAUGAAAUUAGCGGCGGACGGGUGAGUAACACGUGGGUAACCUGCCCAUAAGACUGGGAUAACUCCGGGAAACCGGGGCUAAUACCGGAUAACAUUUUGAACCGCAUGGUUCGAAAUUGAAAGGCGGCUUCGGCUGUCACUUAUGGAUGGACCCGCGUCGCAAUGUACGCUAGUUGAUGAGGUAACGGCUCACCACAUGGCAACGAUGCGUAGCCGACCUCAGAGGGUGAAUCGGCCACACUGGGACUGAGACACGACCCAGACUCCUAUCCGGAGCCAGCAGUUAGGGAAUCUUACGCAAUUGGCACGAAAGUCCGACCGGAGCACACGCCGCGUGAGUGAUGAAGGCCUUCGCGUCGUAAAACUAAGUUGUUAGGGUACAGAACCAAGUGCUAAGUUGAAUAAGCUGCCACCUUUGACGGUACCUUAACCCAGAAAGCCACGCCUAACUACGUGACAGCCAGCCCGGCGGUAAUACGAUAGGUGGCAAGGCGUUAUCCGGAUAUUAUUUGGGCGUGAAAGCAGCGCCCAGGUCGGUUUCUAAAGUCAUGAUCUGAAAGCCCAUCGCCUUCAACCGUGGAGGGUCCAUUGGAAACUGGGAGACCUUGAGUGCAGAAGAGGAAAGGGGAAUUCCAUGUGAAGCGGUGAAAUGACGUAGAGAUAUGGAGGAACACCACGUGGCGAAGGCGAACUUUUCUGGUCUGUAACAGACACUGAGGCGCGGAAAGCGUUGGGGAGCAAACAGGAUUAGAUACCCUGGUAGUCCACGCCGUAACCAAUGAAGUGCUAAGUGUUAGAGGGUUCCCCCCCUUUAGUGCUAAAGUAAAGCCAUUAAGCAUUCCCCUGGGGGAGUAGGGCGGCAAGGUGAAAAUUAAAAGAAAUGGAGGGGGGCCGGCCCAAGCGUUGGAGCAUGUGGUUUAAUUGGAAGCAACGGGAGGACCCUUACCAGUUCUGGCCUUCUUUGGCCAACCUUGGGGAUAGGGUUUUUCUUUGGGGACCGGAGUGCCAGGGGGUCCAUGGUGUUGUUCAGUUGGGUUCGGGAGAUUUUGGGUUAAUUCCGGCAAGGGGGGCAACCCUUGUUCUUAGUUCCCACCAUUCAGUUGGCCAUUUUAAGGGGACUGCCGGGGCCAAACCGGAGGAAGGUGGGGAGGACGUCAAAUCUUCAUGCCCCUUUUGCCCUGGGUACCACACGGGUUCCAAUGGACGGUAAAAAGAGCUGCAGGACCGGGAGGGGGAGUUAUUUUCAUAAAACCGUUUUCAGUUGGGAUGUUAGGUUGAAAUUCGCUUACAGGAAGCGGGAAUCGUUGGUAAUCGGGGAUCACCAGCCCGCGGGGAAUACGUUCCCGGCCCUUGUCCACACCCCCCGCCCCCCCAGGGAAUUUGUUACCCCCGAAGUUCGUUGGGGUACCC